GGUAGUUCUUCUACCACUUCAUCCUUCUUUUCAUCUAUUAGAAUGAAAUUGAGCAUCCUUUUCUACAAAUGUGAUUCCAAUGUACUUUUCACCACAUAUAUAGCAUAAUCCCAACUUUCUUUUUGCCUGAAAGUCUGAGGGUAUAAUAUCUUUGAAUUUAAAGGGAUUAGUGGGGUUUUUUUGUUCAUUGUAGGGUGUGGAUUUAGGAGUGGGUUUGUUUGGUUUAGAGGUUGGGUUGGUCCAUUUAUUUGUUGAGUAAGGUUUGAAAGUUUUAGAGCAUCUCCUAACGACUGUGAUCGUAUUCUCUUGUAGAAUGGCAAUUUCGAAGGCUUUGGUUAGAGUUUGGGGUUGAAUUAUUUUACCCAUUGAUUUGAUCUCUUCUUUCAGGCCACUAGUGAAGACAGAAACAUAGUAGGACUCCGACAAGUGCAGCAAGGAAAUAAUCACUUGGGAUUUCAAUUCUUCACACUACUGGUAUUCAAUCAUAAAUCCUUUCUGCCUUAGCUUACUGAAGACUUCUAUUACUUCCUAUACUGUGUUCUCAGCAAACCUCCUACAAAUUCUCUCGAGAACAUGUCCCAAUCAGCAUGGGGAUGGCUGGAAAAAAAUCCAUGGAACCAUAUGUUAGCCUUCCCCUGCAGGUACAAUUAAGCAAUUCUUAGCCUCAUCCCAUCUUCUAUUUGAUGAAUCUGAAAGUAUUUCUUCACCUUUCGCAAUCACUCCCUGGGUCUAUCUUUUCCAAAAUAAGGGAAAACUAUUUUGGGUAAUUGGAAUACAUUUUAAACUCUCUACUUCCAUUGGAAUUACUUGAAUGGUACUUACUCCCACAAUUUUUAUCACUACUGAUUUGAAAUGGCACUGCACUUCCUUCGAUUUGUUUUUCCUUAAGAUCAAUUUUACCCUAUUCAUCUGAGCUAACAUUAUUAUAAUAGAUUCAUACUUUUGGUUCAUUUCACCGAUCAUUUCCUCCAAUCUAUCAUGCUUGGUGCUCAACACUUUUAGCAUUUGACCUAAGGAUUUAAGUGCUACCCUCAGAUUUGUGACCUCCUUGUCCAACCACUUCAGAUGAUCUUCAUUUGACUUGCUUUGAGUCUCAGCCAUCCCUGUUCACAUAGUUGCUUUGAUACCAAACUGUAACACCCCAAAUUUUUAUAAACACUAAAGUGAUAAAUUUUGAAUUUUUAAAAUGAAUCAUUUUUCGCCUCUCUCUUUAGUUCAUCUAGUGGAAGAUUCAAAGCGACUAGACCUUUAGCAAUAUAAAGGGCAUCGAUGUACCAGUCUCUUUUCUGACCUCUUAUAUUGAGAUCAAUGUACUCUUGUGAAAGAGAGCCUCUUUAGGUCCAUGCAAGACAUACCCAACUAUCUAACUUGUCCUUCCCUUAGUUUGUCAAAACCGGAGUAGUUUCCAUUCGUUGGUAUAGAUUCAAUAUAAAGGGCAUCGAUGUACCAGUCUCUUUUCUGACCUCUUAUAUUGAGAUCAAUGUACUCUUGUGAAAGAGAGCCUCUUUAGGUCCAUGCAAGACAUACCCAACUAUCUAACUUGUCCUUCCCUUAGUUUGUCAAAACCGGAGUAGUUUCCAUUCGUUGGUAUAGAUUCUUAUUUCUUAUGUUACCAUCCUAGCAAAACUAUAUAUCCAUUUCACUAUACUCAUUUCAACUUAUAGAUAUUUAUCCUUUAAGAUUCCAAUGCUAAGAACCAUAAAUUAUUAACAAUAUAGGGGUACUCUUAUUGCACAAAAUUCAUGUAACACUUUUUAUCUUUCCAAAAGUCACUUAGUCCUAAGAAAAGGAUUUUAGACCUCUCUCUUAAGAAGCUUUGACCCUACUCAUAUAUAAAUUCACGGAGCACUAACUACUUAGUCAUUAUUCAUGUUGUAAAUUCUUAUGUGUCAAAAAUAUACUUUACCAUCAAGCAUCUCUUCUGAGGUUUUAGGGGAUUUCAGGUUCAGUAAAUUUAAUAGAAUUAUAAUAUGUAGGAAAAAAAAUAAUUUUUUAGAAUAAUAUUUGAAUAAAAAAGAUUGUUAUCCAAAAUCGGGAAUUAUAAUUGUUACAACCCAAUUUUUCUUAGUCAAAAAUUAAAAAUUGACUAGUCAAUUAAGGACUAAAAUUAAAUAACAUUGGCAAUAUAUGAGGGUUAAAUUGGAUAUAAUUUAAAUUUGGAAUUUACUUUUAUAUUAAGGGAAGCUAGAAGGAUUAAAUGUUAUAUUAAAAUGGAGUUGAGGGACUUCCCUUACAAUUUUUAGUAAGUGGGUCUUUAUAUACCUUUGACCCAUUAUUUUUCACUCCAAAAACAUACACACACACACACUAGAGGAAAUGAGAGAAGGGUCGAGAGAGACGGAGAGGAAAAGAGAAGGAAAGAAAGAGAGAAAAAUGAAGGGGAAAAGAAGAAGAAGAAGAUGGGUUCAAGCUAAGGGUUCUCAACUUUUUCAAUUUCUCUUUUGAUUUAGAAGGGAAAAUACUCAAGGCUCCUCUAUGAAAGGAUAUGAUUUAUUGUAGAGAAAGCGUGAUAACAUUCUUGGUAUCGAAAGUGAGGAGGCGACAAGAAGAUCGAAACAAUGAUCAACUAUGACUUGUGUCUAACCAGAUUAUCAGAGGUCUUUGGGACCCACUCUCGUACACACAUAGGAUUUGGGCCAUGUACUAGGGUGAUUAGCCUUUGGGGCAAUUCUGCGUACGCAUGACCAGAUUAUCAGAAUAUCAGAUUUGAAUGGCUUUGCUUUGUACAUCGAGAUUACUUUGUAUAUAGUAGCCGAAUUGAGCAGCUUUGGAACUUGUUGAACCACAAAAUUGAGUCACUCGUCAUAAGUUGUAUGACAUCAUUUAUCAGAUUAUACAUUAUGUGUUCAUUUGAGAUACAUGUAGCUUAAAUCAGAAAUGUUCAUUAUGGGCUCAUUAGAUAGUUGGUAUCUUUAGUAUAUUUGAGAAUUGUUGAGUGUAAAGUAAGUAAAUGUCGAUUUACCAACAUUUUAUUUGAAGAGUUUGUAUUUUGAGGGAUUGUCUUACCCUAUUCAUAUCAUAGGUAUUGAGUUGAGGAAAAUUGGUUAUUGUUCAGGUGGUUUUAGUUUAUAUUUCAGGGGAAACUCCGUCAAAAUUUCGUAAAAAAUAUUUUCCAGUCAAAUAAGCUAAGGUUGCAUUGGUGGUGAGUCCAGCAUUCAGCUGGUAACUAUCAUCGGCGCACGACACAUGUCGAGUCCAAUAAGGUGAUUCGGGACGGGUCAUGUCAAUAAUUGUUGAUGAAUCUUUAUUUUUUAAG